GUGCACCAGGCGAGAAACUUUACAAUGUGCGAAAGCACGAUAAGGGAACUCUGAGUGCCUCCUAAGGAGGCUGUUCAGGUGUCUAAAAGCACCUGAAGGAAGGGCUGGGUAAGACCGGUGCCAGCCGCCGCGGUAACACCGGCAGCCCAAGUGGUAGCCACGUUUAUUGGGUCUAAAGCGUCCGUAGCCGGCUGGGUAAGUUCCUUGGGAAAUUUGGCUGCUUAACAGUCAAGCUUUCAGGGAAUACUGCCCGGCUUGGGACCGGGAGAGGUCAGAGGUACUCCAGGGGUAGGGGUGAAAUCCAUUAAUCCUUGGGGGACCACCGGUAGCGAAGGCGUCUGACCAGACCGGGUCCGACGGUGAGGGACGAAGGCUAGGGGCGCGAACCGGAUUAGAUA
rnacentral:rRNA from 1 species